CACAUAAAGUAUAUGGUACACACAUUAGAACUAGGUAACAUAACUGGAAAAAUAUAAUGACAUGACAGAUAGCGCACUCCAUGCAACAAGAGAGGUUCCCUCGUAAAAUUGCACAUUGACGCAUCAAAUAGAAGCUUCUCCUUCCAAGCGAAGUCUCUUGGCGCUUUUUUCCUCGUCCUGACAGCUUGAACUUGCCACCCUGCCAUCUUUGGCCUCCAAUGAGCACCUCUUGUAAGGUUUAAAUCCAGUACGAUGAGCUUUCAACCUUACUUGUCCAAGUUCCAUCAUUGGUAGGCAUUUUUCAGCAUCUUCUUUGUUGCCAAUUACUAACACAUUAUCUUCCACUGCUUGAUGACUGGAACAGAUAUCGGAUGCCUGAUCAUUAAGGUCUAACUGCGAUCCACUUAGACCUUUCUCAUCUGGCAUUUGCUUAAUCUUUUCAAGAUUGAUUUUUCCCUUAUUUUUCGGAUCAUUUGAAGGAGAAAAGCUUUGAGGCAACUUCUCUCUGGUGAAAAGAGCCUGGAAUGCUAUCCGUCCCUGUGGAAAAGGUGAGAAUCAACAAUCAUUAAAGCUAGAAAUGACAGCAAAGGACUUAUAAAAAAACAUAAGCUCCCAUUACCCCUUCGGAGACUUCUUUCCAAGAAUCAUUUGGACUGAUGCAAUUCCUACCACGCCGAUUCCCAGCAUCUCCAGCUAGAAGGUUAACAUUAGGUUCUUGAGGCUCUUCUUUACCUUUCUGAUCCUUCUCCAAAGCAUCUGUCUCCAAAUCACUACUUGAAGGUGUAUUGGAACCACAGGAAGAACGGUCUACCUGUUUUCUUCCCUUUCCUGUGUUUGGCUCAUGAAUUUCAGUGACUGCAGCUCCUUGCUCAGUAUUAUCAGCGGUUAACCCAGUUUUUAGCUUCCUACCUUCACUCUCCUCCGAUUCUGAUGAUGGCGAAGUUGGCAACUCAGAAGCAGAAUGUUGUUCUUGCAAAGCUUCAGAGCAAUCCGGGACGGCUUGUUGAGCAUGGGGAGAAUUAUGAGAUCCCUCUCUUCCUUCAUUCUUCUCUACACUAGGUUGACAAGGAUCCACUUGCAUUGAUGUUGCAGAUGUAGGAACACAGGUAGAACUGCUAUGAAAUGGCGAACACAAUGGUAGGAGCCCAUGGGCUGCCCACCAUGCAGUUGCAGCUGCUACAGUGGCAGCAGCAAUUGCUGCCAUACUAGGAGCUGAAUUAAUCUGGCUUGAAGUGUUACCUGUUGGACAAUCUACUGGAGCUUCCACAUUUGCAUAAGGCCAAAAGCUAGCUGCAAAACUUGCUGCAGCAUGUGCGGCUGGGUUUUGCAAUAACGCAGAAAAUAUAAGGCUGGAGAAAGUGGAGGAGAGUUGAAGAAACGAUCGGUAAUCAUCUGGAUCACGAAUAGGGGUGAAGUUAGGGUGGAAACAAGGAAAUGACUGAUGAAUGGAAGACAUUGCAGCAUUACUAUGGUGCUCAGAUGUGGCAGAUGAAGUAGGGUUGGCAUACAAAUUUGAGAGUCCCUGGACGCCACCUAUCUGGUGACUUACGGAUUCAGGAUAAAACAUAUCUGGGGUUGUUUGAGCACCAUUCACCCCUAAGGCCCCAUCAAGAAUAUGCACUGGGACAUGUCUUGGAUAGUUGUGUGGCACUUGCAUAUCAUUUCUUGAGAAUUCCCCAAAAUGAUCUGGCUGACUCGGUUGAUCUUUUUUCUCAUCUUGUACCAACUUCUCAUUCGAUUGACAAGAUUUCCCCCCGUUGAAGGUGUUACAAGAGCUGUUACUUUGAAAGGACUGUUUAGCGUCGAGUAUAUCCAACUUUUGAUGCUCUUUGGAUUCAACAGUAAGAAAAGAUUUAGCUGUUACAUCAUGGUUAAUCACUCCUUGAGUGACAGGCACAGACUCAUUUAAAGUGCAUGAUCCUGCAGGUUCUGCAAGUGUCUGCAAAGACUUCCCUAGGGACAGAGAGGGCGCAGAAGCACCUUCCUUGAAAAGAGUGAACCCUUGGGAGCAAUUUUUCUUGUUCUGGUCUUCUUGUACACUGCCCAGCUUCUCGUUUCUACCAGGUUUCUGAUAAAGAACAAGAAUACAACUAUGCCAUCAAAGAAAACAGAGAAAAAGCUAUGCAAGAUGAAGAGAAACCCAUACCUCAGCAAUCGGUUCUUUCUCCAGGUCAAAUAAGUUCCUAUCCUCACAGAUGGAAGAAAAAGGUGUUGAUAAUUUUCCAUCCUUUAUUCCCACCUGUGAUGAGGGAACUGCUACGCUGGUCUUACGAGGAUAAGGAUUACUUGGUUUCCUUUUAGGUCGUGGUGGAGGAAUUUCAAUGUCGAGUGCUUGACUUAUUGGGACUCCCUUUAUAACAGCCUCCUUUUCUAACUGGAGCAGAUUAUGAAACCAAAAUAUCAGCCUACAGUCUAGUUCCUUGACAGAAUGGUAAUAGGAGAAGUUCAACAUGAAAAGAGGAGCAAUCAGGAUUAUUACAUCAUUGGAAUUGCAUAGCUGAAUCAUCAGAAGAAUCUAUCCAAUAACUAUCUAAACUACAAACCGUUGGAAAAUGUAAAUCCUCGUAACGUGGUAUAGCUGUAAAGGUACAAUGAGUGCUAGGAUCUGGGUCUCUCUAUGGUAAGACAAUAGGGUGGUACACAAGGUGCUGAAACUGCCAUGCGAAGUAGCUUAAUAAUAUUUAAAAUUGUGCAGGAGAAACGAUGAUUUUUUUUUAAAUGAGGCACAGAUUCUACCUUCUGACAUAUAUGUUGUUCCAUCACAAUGAAACCUAAACUGAAGCAGCACAGCAUCACGAAUAUAUUUCAGAAAUAUGGGUCAAUAGUUCUCUUUGUGUAUCAGUAUCAACACUAUCUCAUAAGUUUUAUAGUUCUAUGUGAAAAUGUUUUAUGGUCCUUCAAUUGACUCUUGAUGGUAAACCUGUUAUCAGAUGUCUAAAUGACGUCUCACCAAGGGUCUUACCAUCUGCAUACUAUGCAUUCAUAAAACUUGGAUGCCUCAUACAGCUGAUUCUCUGUUAUUGCCUUCAUUUGAAGCUUUCAAUCAUGUCUAUGAAAUGCAACUUCUAAAUCACCCUUUUAAGAGAGUUUGCAUCCAAAAAUCAUUUUCAUCUAAUUGUCCUUGCAACUCUAUUUACUUUGAUGAUUCUCCUAUUCAGAUUAUAUGCUUCAAAUGAAUCAAAUAGAAACCAGAAAAAGAAAAAAAGAAAUGACCAACUAUUUCGAUUUCCUGUAGUUUAGUGCAACUAAAUAGACCUCCCCUCUAAUUUGAAAAAUACUUAACACCUCCCCCUCUAACUGUCAUUAUAGGAACCUCACCAGUCACUAACUUCCAAUAUUAAAAAUGUUAUUAGCGGUGAUAUUAGGAACAAAUGCCAAUUAUAUCCUAUUUAACCCAAUAGUUCUGAUAUUCUCCUAAGAGACCAAAGGGUAAAAAGAGGAAGCAAGGAAAGAAGAACCAGGCUUCAAGAUGAGACAAUAAUAUCAACCUAUUAGAAACCGCAUACGAGCUGUCCCUUCUCCCCUUCCCCAAUCCCCCAGCUGGUCACUCCUCAUUCCGCCUUCACCUAUUCCGUUCCCAGGCCCUUAUCCACUCCUCCCCCAACUACUUGUCACUCCCCUAUUCCAUUUUCCAACCUGUCACUCUCACCCAGAUAAGAGUAUAUCUACUGACCAGCGAAAAUUCCAAUUGGGAACUCAAUGCCAUCAAAGAGUUUUGCUUUCCCUAGAGAAAUGAGCUCCAAUUACUGAUGAAGGCAUGACACAUUACAUUUGAAACCUUAAAGCUGAAGUUUCAAGUUGGGAACUCAAUGCCAUCAAAGAAUUUUGCUUUCCCUAGAGAAAUGAGCUCCAAUUACUGAUGAAGACAUGCCAUAUUACAUUUGAAACCUUAAAGCUGAAGUUUCAAGUUGGGAGAUAGUCUUUAUGUCUGAAAUUAAAGACAUGAAGACAUGACGAUGAAGAUCCAAUUGUAGCUUCUAAAAUUGAGCUCUAACUUCGAAAUUAUCAGUGAACUAAGGUACUUUCUGAGCCACAAGGAUGUAGACACCAAGAAGAGAUGGGAGGAGCUAUUUGGUUAAAUAAUAAGACAAUCAGAUAUUUUUCAGUUCCACUUUGGAGAGCUGAGGUCUCAGACAUCUCUUGACUGUAUGUUUAGUGUCGCUAAACUAAAGGGUAAGCAGAGGUCUAAGUUAUUCAACCCCCCACCCCAAUCCAAAAGAAAAAAAUGGGGCCGGUUUGGCUGAGCAGAUUGCACAACCAAACCAGCCCCAUUAACUUUCCCCUCUAAAAUAAUAUGUAACUAACUUGUCCAAUUGGCUAACAAUACUACUUCUCUUAAAGGUUUCAAAUAGUUUAUUCCUUCCAUUAAUCUUAGACACAGCCUCCACAACCCCCAAUUUCACUUUCCUCUUUUAAAAUUUUCCUCCUCUGCCAACAUAAACUUUAUUUUAUUAGUGGAACUGAAGCAUAUAAAGAUAAUUGACUUCUUUACUUCUCAUUUAGCCUUCCGAUACUUGAUGACAAGGCAAACCAUUGUGGGAAAGAGAGGGCCAGCCUAUGUUAUUAGGCCUGCAAACUAAAAACCACUAGUUGUUUGCUGCUCUGAAAUCCAUCAGAAAUGCAGGAUCUACUAGUGCAAAUUUUGUUUUGGCAUAAACUGCUUACCUUUCAAUUCAUUUCUCGCGGUAAGUUUUCCCUUUCUUUCUGCUAAUAUUAUCUCUCUUACUUUCUAGAUGGACAAUGUGAACUAGCUAUGAUCAACCUGCUCUAUUUCCUUAAUCAAUAACAGAAGUUCCAAUCUUAAUGAAGCAAAAAAGACUCCGGACAAGUGAUUCUUUAUGUGCAAAAGGAUAAGGGAAUAUGUGGAUCGCCUCCUAUUACCUACAAAACAGUGAGAUUCAAAUUUGAAGUUUAUUGGGGUGAAUUAUAUAAUGCCUAAUAUUGUUAAGACAUUGCUGGGACAUUUGAAACUUAGGAGCACAAGCAGCGGAAAAAGAGAUCAUACGGACGGUAGGGAUCAUCAAGUGUUUGAAGGACAGGAGAGUCAUGUCCUAGUAAAGAUGGUUGUCUUCUUCGUUGUUGAAUUUAGUGUACGUGUGGUAUUCACAAUAUGUAAAUGAUUGGAAUUUGAUUUGUAGAUAUGAAUUCCUAUACGAAUGUUUCCUUUAAUCUUACAAGGUUUUCUCUUCAUUCCUUAAAUAAAACUCACUAUAUCAUCCCGAAGGAAAGAGGAAAUUCUAAUAGUUCCCUUAUGACUUUUCUUUUAACUACAAGGUUUAACUACUUAGCU
rnacentral:lncRNA from 1 species